rnacentral:rRNA from 1 species
CCUACGGGAGGCAGCAGUAGGGAAUCUUCCACAAUGGACGAAAGUCUGAUGGAGCAACGCCGCGUGAGUGAUGAAGGUUUUCGGAUCGUAAAACUCUGUUGUAAGGGAAGAACAAGUACGUUAGGAAAUGAACGUACCUUGACGGUACCUUAUUAGAAAGCCACGGCUAACUACGUGCCAGCAGCCGCGGUAAUACGUAGGUGGCAAGCGUUGCUCCGGAUUUAUUGGGCGUAAAGCGCGCGCAGGUGGUUUCUUAAGUCUGAUGUGAAAGCCCACGGCUCAACCGUGGAGGGUCAUUGGAACUGGGAGACUUGAGUGCAGAAGAGGAUAGUGGAAUUCCAGUGUAGCGGUGAAAUGCGUAGAGAUUUGGAGGAACACCCAGUGGCGAAGGCGACUGUCUGGUCUGUAACUGACACUGAGGCGCGAAACGUGGGGAGCAAACAGGAUUAGAUACCCCUGGUAGUCACGCCGUAAACGAUGAGUGCUAAGUGUUAGGGGUUUCCGCCCCUUAGUGCUGCAGCUAACGCAUUAAGCACUCCGCCUGGGGAGUACGACCGCAAGGUUGAAACUCAAAGGAAUUGACGGGGGCCCGCACAAGCGGUGGAGCAUGUGGUUUAAUUCGAAGCAACGCGAAGAACCUUAC